CCGGCGGGGGACCUCAGGGUCCCGGCCGAGCCCUAAUCGGAGAACGAACAGCCUGAAAAACUCAUGGUCGGGAUGUGGAGAAACUGAACGGCCUCCCCGGGCCCGUGCCAAUUACAACGCCCCCCCCCCAACUUUUGUUGAACAAAAACACCAGCUGAGGUGCUGGAAGCGUGUAAUUAAGUCUAGUUUCUCUGUCCACAUUCCACUCGGCUCCAGUUACGUGCAGUGUUAAGUGUGCGUGGGUCUUGUGGGGACUCCAGUCAAGUAAACUUACAACUCAUCCCCUUUGGAGAAUUAACUGCUUUUUGAUUUGUUUUUUAACUUUUCGAAUUAAUUAUUAGAUUCACAGUUGCAAAUAUAGUACAGACCUCUGCGGUCUGCCCCCCCAAAACCCACGAACCCUGUGAGAAAAACACCGGGCAGACCCAGACUGAAGGGAUCGCGUGGAAUACCUGACGGGCGCUUCUCAGGACACCACCGGGAGAAAGAGGAAUCAAGAAGAUGAUCUCCAUUAGGAUACAGGAACACAGCAAUCGACCAAAAGCCCAGGGGAAAGGAAAGCCAAGAUGACGCAGAGCUGGAGGCCAUCCCUCUCCCCAGGACAAAGUCAGCAGGGCCCACGGAGCAUGUAUUCAACAGUGAGGAUGGGAUGCGUUUCAUGUCGUAGAUGGCAAUUAGCACCUGUGUCUCACUUCAGAGAUUUCUAGACAGAUGAGGCAAGUCACUGAACAUAACACGUUAACAUGACUUCGAACCAAGCAGCCAGCCCGAGGUUCUGCCAGGCUGAUGAGCUCUGUGGAGCUGGGCGGUUCACAGCCUCUGUCGCAGCAGGGGCCACGGCGCACCUUCAAGAGGACGUUCCGGGGAGCGAGCAGCGAUGACUUCCUGCCACGUCAUUUUCCUCCAGCGCAAAACAAGCAAGGAUAGGGACAGACUUACCCUCUCCCAGUCGUCAGGGUAAGUGGUUACGGCCUGAACAGCGUGGAGAUUUGUAGUGAACCGUUGCAGGGCUGAAGUCUUAGUCAUGUUUUAAAUAUCAUUUGAAUUUUUUGUUUUUAACGAAAUUGCCUAAUAAAGUCUUUAUUACAUUUAAAAUUCUUUCAUACUAGAAGACACAAAAAUUGAUUCUUUCUUAUUCAACCUCUAGUGAAUACUGGCUUUCCCCCACUUUCUAGAAGACACAAAAAUUGAUUCUUUCUUAUUCAACCUCUAGUGAAUACUGGCUUUCCCCCACUUUUCUGUAACCUAGUUUAUCUCUAAUUUUGUAUAAAAAUUCCUCCCUUUCUAUAUUUUGAGAAGAGGGUGGACUACUUAUGAGGCAGGUAGUAAUGAAGUUCUGGUCCAGUUUUAGUACAUAUAUAAAUGAAGGUAAAACCAUACAAAUACUCAUAGGAAAAGAGCAGCACAGAUUUUUGAUUGACUCAACAAAUAUCUAUGGAGUAUAUAUUAUGUAUAGGGAGUAGGAUGGCUGAUAAUAUUCUAUAUCAAGACAGGACUAGAGCCCUGGACAGUUUGGCUUAGUGGUUAGAGCACUGGCCUGUGGACUGAAAGGUUCUGGGUUCAG